rnacentral:rRNA from 1 species
CCCGGGCUAAAUCCUGAUUUGAUACCCCGAAACGGGUAGUUCUCUUCGGAGCGGUCAGGAAGGUGCUGCAUGGCUGUCGUCAGCUCGUGCCGUGAGGUGUUGCCUUAAGUGGCGCAACGAGCGCAACCCCUAUGGUUAGUUACCAGCACGUAAUGGUGGGGACUCUAGCCAGACUGCCUACGCAAGUAGUGAGGAAGGUGGGGACGAUCAAGUCAUCAUGGCCCUUAUGUCCGGGGCUGCACACGUGCUACAAUGGACGGUACAGAGGGAAGCCACCCAGCGAUGGGGCGCAGAUCUCGAAAGCCGUUCCCAGUUCGGAUUGGAGUCUGCAACUCGACUCCAUGAAGGUGGAAUCGCUAGUAAUCGCGUAUC